UCAUGCUAACAACAUAGUGUUAAUGCAUCAUAUCCUAUUAGAACUCUAUAGUUAAACAUGCUCAAGCUAGAGUAGUACUGGGAUGGAUGACCAACCAUGAAUUCCUAGUGUUUUACAUGCC
rfam:Picea glauca, whole genome shotgun sequence.